GAGCGAGCUUCCCAGCGUGACGACGAACUGCAGAAAGUCUGGUGUGGUGGCGCGCGCGGCCCCCUCGCUCGUGCAAGCAGCUCCUUGGUUGCUAACGGCAAAAGGCAGCGCAGCCUGCGGGUGGUGCCCGGGAAGAAGAUGAGCUCGCUGUCGGGAUUUAGGGCGGGAAAUUCGAAUGCGCGGGCGCCCUCUCUAGAUUUAUUUCCAUCCAUUUCAUUGCGCUGGACGGAAGGCAGUUUCGAGAAUGGGACUGAGGGGCGGCCAGCUUUCCCGGAUUUGCUUGGAACGUCCUACAUUGCAACAGCUGCCACAGCAGUACCCUGAGCAGCAGGCAUAGACAUAAGCUCAACUAGAGCAACUUCAGCCACAUUUUGACUGAGUACAACACUACGCAAUGCAGAUUGUAGACCAGAGGAGUGAGUGAAGCACAAGUUAGUAUCAAGAGCCUUUGGAGUCAGCAGGUUGUGUGUGUGUCUGUGUAUAAAAUAAAUAAAUAAAAAUAAAAAUUCUUCUGUAUUGCCAGUUUUGAUUUCUGUAGCAUUUGGGAUAACUGAAUUUAGUAAGUCUAUAUUCAGAGUUUAACCAAGUGCAUUCAAUAUAAAUAAAAUAAUUAUAUAAUAUACAGUAGCUUUAUGCAUCUGGUUAGCUUAAUAGCUAUGCUUAAGAGUAAGGUCUUUCCAAGGU